AUAUGUACUCGGGAACGUUCGUCCUUUAGGUUUUCUCCUGGCGCAUGGGCGCCGCCAAUCAUUUCGGGGCUUAUUUUGGUUCUAAAGCCCGGGGCAGCCAGGCCUCCCUGCCUGGCCUCGGCGGGGACGCGGGACCUGGGGCCCCGGACCGGGCCUAACCGCCCUGGCCGGUCCCCACUGAUGGUGGCGGUCGGUCCUGAUCGUCCUGAUGGCAGCGACCAGGCUGGACUCGGGCUGUGCAGGGGCGAGGGGAGCAGGGCGGGGUGACGCCCGGAGAGCGGCCUGGAGAGCGCGUGCUUCAGAAGGCGUGGGCACCCUGUCCCCUUUGCAGAUGGGGAUGCAGGCCCUGGUGGCGGUGGAGGGGAGAUGGGGGCAGGGACGUUGCCGGGCAGAGGAAGCUGGCCAUUCCUGGGGGAUUCCUGGGAGCCAUGUGGGAGAGGCGUGAGGAAGUGAGACCUUCACCCCGAGACAGGUCCUGACACACCCUCUGGUGCCUCUACUCAAGUGAGAAGUUUGGCUGCUGUAACUGACUGGGAAGCUUAAAAUAACAGACAAUCAUCUCUCACAUUUAUGGGGACUGGGAAGUCCAAG
rnacentral:lncRNA from 10 species